rnacentral:lncRNA from 1 species
AAAAUUUUACAUCGAAUGUCAUUAUAGUCUAUUUAACCUUGCAUGUUUGUUAUCCAGUUUUUAUCAGGUCAUCGUCCUAUAUGAUGCCACGUAACUGCCAGCUGUGACAUGGCCAAACUUAAAAAACAAGUGGAAAAGAAAAUGGAAAAACUAAGACGAUUCUGGGAAACAAAGAAGAUAAAAAAUCAGUCGGAGAAAAACAAGGUUACAGAGACAGGGAGGAUAGCGGAGGUCUAACGGCGCCGUCAGUCGGAGAAGAAAAGGUUACAGAGACGGGAAAAUAGCGGAGAUCCAACGCUGCCGUCAAUUGGAGAUCGGGACAGGUGAAGCUACUUUCGCAGCAGCUGCUUCUCCACAGUUUUGAGCUUACCCUGCUGGAGUGGCUUAAGAUUUUAAUAAUCAAGGCUGUGUGGGGUUUGCUUGGAUGAAUGAUUUGAUUUUCGUUUGCAAUGAAAGGAUUCACUGGGUUUGAUCCACUAAACUACCCUUUCCUUCUUAAUUUCAUUGGGUUUACUUUUUGUUUCCCCCUUGGGUUUCUGGGACUUCCUUUCUUGCUUGAUUUGAUAGAUUAUUGCAGGACCUAUUCCAUUUAUGUUUAUAGCAAUUCUUAUGGAGCUAAUAGUUUGUCCUUCUCGGCUAUAUUUGAUUAUCUUGUGCGAAGCUAAAUGAUUUUUCAUUAUGUGUGCUUCCUGUGAAGCUAUAGUUGAAGACCGAGGCUCGUUUGUUUACUUCUAAUUUCAUAUGCGGUGCUAAUUAAUUAAUUAAAGUUUAUUAGAUUGAUCCUUUUGUGCAGGAUUUGGUACUGAAUUAGGGUGAAGUCGGGAAAUUGAGAUGGAUCUGAACCCUAUUAAGGAUGCAUUUGAUCGUGAUAGUAGUCCGUCGGCGUCUUCAUCCUCUUCUUCUAUCGGGAAGAAAAGUUCUGCGGAAGUUGGUCUGAUUUUACAUAUUUUCCUCUGGUUGCAACUUCUGCUCGCCGAAACUUCCUCGCAGGCGACAGUUAGAUCGCUGUCAAUGGCUUUGGGCGGAGUUCUUCGAAACAUGGCUUUGGGGUGGGGGUCUUGGAAACUUGAUGUAGAACAGAGGAGAGAAGAGCAUUUGUUAUGAUGGAAAAUUGGUUAUGAUGGAAAGAAAAGAAGGGUAAAAAGAAGAGUACAAUUAGAGACAAGUGAUUCAGCUUAUGAGCAAAUAACCAUUUCAGUGAUUAUGAUAAGUUCAAUAACCUAUUAGUUUGGUAAUGAGUCCAAGAAUACUGACCAUUGUCUCGAAUUCAAAUCUCAUGGUCCCGAUUAAUUAACUGAAAACAAAUUUAUCAAUUCCGUAUUGAAUUUUACAUAUAAAAAAGUCACAAUUCAACUAGAAGCUCUCCCGCCAAAUUUUAACCCCUUAA